rnacentral:rRNA from 1 species
AACGAACGCUGGCGGCAUGCCUAACACAUGCAAGUCGAACGAGACCUUCGGGUCUAGUGGCGCUCGGGUGCGUAACGCGGGGGAACCUGCCCUUAGGUUCGGAAUAACUCCCCGAAAGGGGUGCUAAUACCGGAGAAUGUCAUCGGACCAAAGAUUUAUCGCCUUUGGAUGGGCCCGCGUUGGAUUAGCUAGUUGGUAGGGUAAAAGCCUACCAAGGCGACGAUCCAUAGCUGGUCUGAGAGGAUGAUCAGCCACACUGGGACUGAGACACGGCCCAGACUCCUACGGGAUGCAGCAGUGGGGAAUAUUGGACAAUGGGCGAAAGCCUGAUCCAGCAAUGCCGCGUGAGUGAUGAAGGCCUUAGGGUUGUAAAGCUCUUUUACCCGGGAUGAUAAUGACAGUACCGGGAGAAUAAGCUCCGGCUAACUCCGUG